CUCAAAGUCUGAGCAGGGAGCACUCUUUGCCUGUGUGGCCUUUACGGAAAACCUGAGCACUAACGGGUCCUCUGCGGUUUUUAGCAGAAUCUAUGCGGCCACCGUGGCAUGGUGUCCUGGCUUUAUCUUUAUGUUGGGUGCUGGACUCUGUAUCAUUCCCAUAAGUCUAUUAGGCAUCCUUAGGUGUUUCCAUUCAUUGGAUUCUAAUGACACUCAAGCACUCUUGUCAGAAGAUGGGACUGAAGCCUCA